rnacentral:tRNA from 3 species
GUCCCUUUCUUCUAAUGGCCCAGGAUCUCGACCUUUCAUGUCGAAGACACGGAUCCCCGUAAGGGACA